AUUGAACGCUGGCGGCAUGCUUUACACAUGCAAGUCGAACGGUAACAGGGUGCUUGCACCGCUGACGAGUGGCGAACGGGUGAGUAAUGCGUCGGAACGUGCCGAGUAGUGGGGGAUAACGCAGCGAAAGUUGUGCUAAUACCGCAUACGUACUGAGGUAGAAAGUGGGGGACCUUCGGGCCUCACGCUAUUCGAGCGGCCGACGUCUGAUUAGCUAGUAGGUGAGGUAAAGGCUCACCUAGGCGACGAUCAGUAGCGGGUCUGAGAGGAUGAGCGGCCACACUGGGACUGAGACACGGCCCAGACUCCUACGGGAGGCAGCAGUGGGGAAUUUUGGACAAUGGGCGAAGGCCUGAUCCAGCCAUGCCGCGUGUCUGAAGUAGGCCUUCGGGUUGUAAAGGACUUUUGUCGGGGAGGAAAUCCCCAGCGCUAAUACCGCUGGGGGAUGACAGUACCUGAAGAAUAAGCACCGGCUAACUACGUGCCAGCCGCCGCCGUAACAC
rnacentral:rRNA from 1 species